rnacentral:rRNA from 1 species
AUUGAACGCUGGCGGCAUGCUUUACACAUGCAAGUCGAACGGUAACAGGCCGCAAGGUGCUGACGAGUGGCGAACGGGGGAGUAAUGCAUCGGAACGUGCCCCGCCGUGGGGGAUAACGCAGCGACAGCUGUGGUAAUACCGUAGACGACCUACGGAUGAAAGCGGGGGACCGUAAGGCCGCGCGCGAUUGGAGCGGCGGAGGUCGGAUUAGGUAGUUGGUGGGGUAAAGGCCCACCAAGCCAACGAUCGGUGGCUGGUCUGGGGGGAGGACAAGCCACACUGGGAGUGGACCAGGGCCCAGACUCCUACGGGAGGCAGCAGUGGGGAAUAUUGGGCAAUGGGCGAAAGCCUGAUCCAGCCAUGCCGCGUGUGUGAAGAAGGCCUUCGGGUUGUAAAGCACUUUAAGCGGGGAGGAAGUACUUGGGGCUAAGAUCCCUGAGUGUUGACGUUACCCGCAGAAUAAGCACCGGCUAACUCUGUGCCAGCAGCCGCGGUAAUAC